rnacentral:rRNA from 1 species
AGAGUUUGAUCAUGGCUCAGGAUGAACGCUGGCGGCGUGCCUCAUGCAUGCAAGUCGAACGGGGACACUUUGAGUAGCAAUACUUGGGGUGUUCUAGUGGCGAUCGGGUGAGUAACACGUAGGUGACCUGCCCCGAAGAGGGGGAUAACGGCCCGAAAGGGCUGCUAAUACCCCAUGUGAUUGACGAUUCAUUUUGUCAAUUAAAGCUUCCGCAAGGAGUGUGCUUCGGGAGGGGCCUGCGGCGGAUUAGAUUGUUGGUGGGGUAAUGGCCUACCAAGUCGAUGAUCCGUAGCUAGUCUGAGAGGACGAUUAGCCACACUGGCACUGACACACGGGCCAGACUCCUACGGGAGGCAGCAGCAGGGAAUAUUGCACAAUGGGCGAAAGCCUGAUGCAGCAACGCCGCGUGAGGGAUGGAGGUCUUUGGAUUGUAAACCUCUUUUUCAGGGGACGAGAGAGGACGGUACCCUGAGAAUAAGCAACGGCUAACUACGUGCCAGCAGCCGCGGUAAUACGUAGGUUGCGAGCGUUAUUCGGAUUUACUGGGCGUAAAGCGCACCGAGGUGGCUUCUUAAGUUGGAUGUAAAAUCUCCCGGCUUAACUGGGAGGCGCCAUUCAAUACUGAGGAGCUUGAGGUCAGCAGGGGAAAGUGGAAUUCCCGGUGUAGUGGGAAUGCGUAGAGAUCGGGAGGAACACCAGUGGCGAAAGCGACUUUCUGGGCUGCACCUGACACUCUAGUGCGAAAGCGUGGGGAGCAAACAGGAUUAGAUACCCUAGUAGUCC